UUAAAAUGUAAAAUUUAUUAUCAAAGUAGUAUUAGUUAUGAUCUUGAAAUUUAAAGAUUUUGGCGGUGUUUUAGUCUGUUUAGAGGAACCUGUUCUAUAAUUGAUAGUCCACGAUAAAUUUUACUUUAUUUAAUUAGUUUGUAUAUCGUCGUUAUUAAGUAUUUUAAAAGAAAUUAAAUAUUUAAUGUUUUUUAUAAGAUUUCAUUUCAGAUCAAGGUGCAGUUUAUAGUAAAGUAGAAAUGGGUUACAAUAAAAUUAUUUAUGCGAAUUUAUUUAUUAAAAUAAUAAUGAAGAUGGAUUUAAUAGUAAUAAAAUUUAAAUAAAUUUUAUGAUUUAAGCUCUAAAAUGUGU
rnacentral:rRNA from 1 species